GCUAGUAAUCGCGGAUCAGCAUGCCGCGGUGAAUACGUUCCCGGGCCUUGUACACACCGCCCGUCACACCAUGGGAGUUCGUAACGCCCAAAGUCGGUGGCCUAACCUUUAUGGAGGGAGCCGCCUAAGGCGGGACAGAUGACUGGGGUGAAGUCGUAACAAGGUACC
rnacentral:rRNA from 1 species